CUGACACAGGGCUCCAUCCCAGAACCCUGGGAUCAUGACCGACUGAGCCACCCAGUACACCCAGGGGAGCUCCAUUUGCGACCACUGCAGGAUGGUGGCCUGCCUCAAGUCUGGAGAGACCAGUGUCUCGGUUCUGAGGCCCUGGCAGCCCUCUCUGCCUCCUCUUGGCAGACCCGCGUACUCCUGGAAACAUUACAGGAGAAACAGGGCCCUCUGGCCCCAAUGACUGUUCACCUGGAGAACAUUUAUCCUUAAUUAAAGCAAUUCCCGAAGAAGAGGCAGCCUUUACUGGACAUCAGGGUAGCGCUUAUUCAGAAGUUUGGAGAACUCAGGCUGGCGUCUGUGGGGGUGCUCCAUGAUGAACGAACAGGCUUGCAAAGCUGGAGACGUCCCCUCACAGCCAAGUGCCUCCAGCCGCCCUGGCCCAAGACUCGCAAGCGCAGUGUGUGGCCUCCGUGAAUUGCCUCCAGGGAGAGGUUGAGGAGAUGGACAGCCCCCACCCGCUCCCGUGGGGCAGUUAUUUCAUACGGGGGGGGGUCAGAGGCCCCCACACAGGUAAGCCACCCGCCCCUUGAGGCGGUCUGUACCGAAUCCCUACUCAUGGCCACUGGGGCAGCGCUGUUGUCUCCCACUGCCUUCCACGGCCCAAAACUCUGAAGACAGGAACCCAUGCACACUGUGGGGCUGCUGCGUUUCUCUGAUGACUAAGAUAGUUGUUUAUACUGGUGUCAAGAUGCAGCCUCUGGACUUCUCAGAUUUCUAGUCCACUCAACAGAAACUCUCCAAGGCCAAGAGUGCUUUU